AUGGCGCAUAGAUGGAUCAUGAAAUUGUUAAUGUUGCUAUCCGUUUCCCAGACGACAAGGUGCACGCUUCCCGUCCAACUCACUAUUGCCUCGCCACCGUUCCUCAGUUGGAUCGGGAGAGGGGCGUCACUUGCGGCUGGACCGGAGAAGAAAGUGACUAGAGAGGGAACUGACGAUGGGAGAGGUGAUUUCUUGCUUCCCUGUCUGAUCAUCUGUACCCGAUAUCUUUUAACGUUCUCCUCUCAUCAAGGUCUUCUGUCGUCCUGUUGCUCAUUUACACUCAUUUUCUUGUUGGGAUGCGGUUAG
rnacentral:rRNA from 1 species